GAUGAACGCUGGCGGCGUGCUUAACACAUGCAAGUCGAACGAUGAAGCCCAGCUUGCUGGGUGGAUUAGUGGCGAACGGGUGAGUAACACGUGAGUAACCUGCCCUUAACUCUGGGAUAAGCCUGGGAAACUGGGUCUAAUACCGGAUAGGAGCGUCCACCGCAUGGUGGGUGUUGGAAAGAUUUAUCGGUUUUGGAUGGACUCGCGGCCUAUCAGCUUGUUGGUGAGGUAAUGGCUCACCAAGGCGACGACGGGUAGCCGGCCUGAGAGGGUGACCGGCCACACUGGGACUGAGACACGGCCCAGACUCCUACGGGAGGCAGCAGUGGGGAAUAUUGCACAUUGGGCGAAAGCCUGAUGCAGCGACGCCGCGUGAGGGAUGACGGCCUUCGGGUUGUAAACCUCUUUCAGUAGGGAAGAAGCGAAAGUGACGGUACCUGCAGAAGAAGCACCGGCUAACUACGUG
rnacentral:rRNA from 1 species